AGUAGGGAAUAUUCCACAAUGGACGAAAGUCUGAUGGAGCGACACAGCGUGCAGGAUGAARGCCUUAUGGGUUGUAAACUGCUGUGGUAAGGGAAGAAAAAAUAAAUGAGGAAAUGCAUUUAUCCUGACGGUACCUUAUUAGAAAGCGACGGCUAACUAUGUGCCAGCAGCCGCGGUAAUACAUAGGUCGCAAGCGUUAUCCGGAAUUAUUGGGCGUAAAGCGUCUGUAGGUUGUUUGUUAAGUCUGGCGUUAAAACUUGGGGCUCAACCCCAAAGCGCGUUGGAUACUGGCAUACUAGAGUUACGUAGAGGUUAGCGGAAUUCCUUGUGAAGCGGUGAAAUGCGUAGAUAUAAGGAAGAACACCAACAUGGCGAAGGCAGCUAACUGGGCGUAUACUGACACUGAGAGACGAAAGCGUGGGGAGCAAACAGGAUUAGAUACCCUGGUAGUCCACGCCCUAAACGAUGAUCAUUAGCUGAUGGAAAAUUCGUCGGCGCAGCUAACGCAUUAAAUGAUCCGCCUGAGUAGUACGUUCGCAAGAAUAAAA
rnacentral:rRNA from 2 species